rnacentral:rRNA from 1 species
GACGAACUUUGGCGGCGUGCUUAACACAUGCAAGUCGAACGGAAAGGCCCUGCUUUUGUGGGGUGCUCGAGUGGCGAACGGGUGAGUAACACGUGAGUAACCUGCCCUUGACUUUGGGAUAACUUCAGGAAACUGGGGCUAAUACCGGAUAGGAGCUCCUGCUGCAUGGUGGGGGUUGGAAAGUUUCGGCGGUUGGGGAUGGACUCGCGGCUUAUCAGCUUGUUGGUGGGGUAGUGGCUUACCAAGGCUUUGACGGGUAGCCGGCCUGAGAGGGUGACCGGCCACAUUGGGACUGAGAUACGGCCCAGACUCCUACGGGAGGCAGCAGUGGGGAAUAUUGCACAAUGGGCGGAAGCCUGAUGCAGCAACGCCGCGUGCGGGAUGACGGCCUUCGGGUUGUAAACCGCUUUCGCCUGUGACGAAGCGUGAGUGACGGUAAUGGGUAAAGAAGCACCGGCUAACUACGUGCCAGCAGCCGCGGUGAUACGUAGGGUGCGAGCGUUGUCCGGAUUUAUUGGGCGUAAAGGGCUCGUAGGUGGUUGAUCGCGUCGGAAGUGUAAUCUUGGGGCUUAACCCUGAGCGUGCUUUCGAUACGGGUUGACUUGAGGAAGGUAGGGGAGAAUGGAAUUCCUGGUGGAGCGGUGGAAUGCGCAGAUAUCAAGAGGAACACCAGUGGCGAAGGCGGUUCUCUGGGCCUUUCCUGACGCUGAGGAGCGAAAGCGUGGGGAGCGAACAGGCUUAGAUACCCUGGUAGUCCACGCUGUAAACGGUGGGUACUAGGUGUGGGGUCCAUUCCACGGGUUCCGUGCCGUAGCUAACGCUUUAAGUACCCCGCCUGGGGAGUACGGCCGCAAGGCUAAAACUCAAAGGAAUUGACGGGGCCCCGCACAAGCGGCGGAGCAUGCGGAUUAAUUCGAUGCAACGCGUAGAACCUUACCUGGGUUUGACAUGGAUCGGGAGUGCUCAGAGAUGGGUGUGCCUCUUUUGGGGUCGGUUCACAGGUGGUGCAUGCCUGUCGUCAGCUCGUGUCGUGAGAUGUUGGGUUAAGUCCCGCAACGAGCGCAACCCUUGUUCACUGUUGCCAGCACGUUAUGGUGGGGACUCAGUGGAGACCGCCGGGGUCAACUCGGAGGAAGGUGGGGAUGACGUCAAGUCAUCAUGCCCCUUAUGUCCAGGGCUUCACGCAUGCUACAAUGGCUGGUACAGAGAGUGGCGAGCCUGUGAGGGUGAGCGAAUCUCGGAAAGCCGGUCUCAGUUCGGAUUGGGGUCUGCAACUCGACCUCAUGAAGUCGGAGUCGCUAGUAAUCGCAGAUCAGCAACGCUGCGGUGAAUACGUUCCCGGGGCU